GACGAACGCUGGCGGCGUGCCUAAUACAUGCAAGUAGAACGCAGUUGCGAACGGGUGAGUAACGCGUAGGUAACUGCCUGGUAGCGGGGGAUAACUAUUGGAAACGAUAGCUAAUACCGCAUACUACCAGAUGGACCUGCGUUGUAUUAGCUAGUUGGUGGGGUAACGGCCCACCAAGGCAACGAUACAUAGACGACCUGAUAGGGUGGUCGGCCAACCUGGGCCGUAGGCACGGCCCAGACUCCUUCGGGAGGCAGCAGUAGGGAAUCUUCUGGAAUGGGGGGAACCCUGACCGAGCAACGCCGCGUGAGUGAAGAAGGUUUUCGGAUCGUAAAGCUCUGUUGUUAAGGAAGCGGUACUUAACCAGAAAGGGACGGCUAACUACGUGCCAGCAGCCGCGGUAAUUC
rnacentral:rRNA from 1 species